CACAAUGAAUCAAUUACGGGGGAAAUAAUCCCCAUAGCCUGAGUCUGGACCAGAUUACGCGUCAUUUGCAGCCUCACGGGUCAGCGACUGAGAGGUGAUAAUGAGCUGAUGAAGCCCCUCCCCCCUCCUGUGAAGUCAACCCACCACCCCUUCAACCCAACCAACCCCGUUUCACACCAAUGGUCCGACGGAAACAAGAGAAACCUCUGGGUCUGAAACACCAGACAACAACGAUAAUAACAACAGCAGCGACGACGGUGAUGAAGUGACAGCCGUCAACAGGACCGGCAACUGUCUCUCAUCCCCGGCGGAGACGUCGCAGAGAGACGAGCGGAGGAGGAAGACGAGGAAAAGACUCAGUGAAGCGGAAGAAUGAGUUUCUGCAGGCUACGAGACAAAAAGCAGAGUGACCUCAAUAAAGACGGAGAGAGUCUGUACGAACGCCUGCAGCUCAAUCCCAAUUUGCCCGUCUUA